ACACGCAUGAGAAUCGCAGACGAUUAUUUUGCACAGCCCUACUCUCCUACGCACGCACACUCACUCACUCACUCUCCCCCUCUCUCUGUUUGUCCCUCUUUCAAUUUGUUUUGCCUAUUUCUCUUUGCAUUCUUUCUUUUCAUCAAUAUGACAUCUUCAGGUUUUGACCAGUUAUGCCAGGAAGCUGCAACUACUUCAAAGCAUCUUAACAUGAUAGCUGACAAUGCUGAACUUGGAGCAGCUACCAGAGAGGCUGAAGAAAUUCUACAAAUGUUCAAUCCUCCACUGCUGAAAAAGAAGACCAAACGAGCGAUUUCCUGGACUGAACAGACACAUUGAACUUUGCACUGCAUUUCAAAGCCAGCUCCUCAGCCGCAACACUGAGAACCAGAGUUGAGGUCAAUGUACUGCUGAGAAAAGUGCAAGAUCUGUUUAACCAAAAUUAUAAGGAUGCCGGAGGUACUGGAAGGCCCCCUUGGUAAAUCAAGGCAUGACAGUUAAAGUUGCAGGACUGCCUAACAGCCUUACUUUCAAAAAGCCAUCCUAUUAUGGAAGGAAGCAGUUGGAGGCCAUUUUGCAAGCGGCUGAGGAGAUUUCAUUUGAAAUCAAUGCAGCACAAUGCAACUCCACUGACAAAGCAGAAGGAAUGUCAGAGGCGAUGGACGCAGAAGAGCUGGAAGAACAGUCCUCAGAAACAGCCACUACUGUAGCUAUUGUAAUGACUGCAGAUGAAG